CACGUAGGGGGCGAGCGUUGUCCGGAAUCAUUGGGCGUAAAGAGCUCGUAGGCGGCUCAGUAAGUCGGGUGUGAAACCCUCAGGCUCAACCUGGGGACGCCACCCGAUACUGCUGUGGCUAGAGUCCAGUAGGGGAGUGUGGAAUUCCCGGUGUAGCGGUGAAAUGCGCAGAUAUCGGGAGGAACACCAGCGGCGAAGGCGGCACUCUGGGCUGGUACUGACGCUGAGGAGCGAAAGCGUGGGUAGCAACAGG
rnacentral:rRNA from 1 species